AACGAACGCUGGCGGCAUGCCUAACACAUGCAAGUCGAACGAGACCUUCGGGUCUAGUGGCGCACGGGUGCGUAACGCGUGGGAACCUGCCCUUAGGUUCGGAAUAACUCCCCGAAAGGGGUGCUAAUACCGGAUAAUGUCUUCGGACCAAAGAUUUAUCGCCUUUGGAUGGGCCCGCGUUGGAUUAGCUAGUUGGUAGGGUAAAAGCCUACCAAGGCGACGAUCCAUAGCUGGUCUGAGAGGAUGAUCAGCCUCACUGGGACUGAGACACGGCCCAGACUCCUACGGGAGGCAGCAGUGGGGAAUAUUGGACAAUGGGCGAAAGCCUGAUCCAGCAAUGCCGCGUGAGUGAUGAAGGCCUUAGGGUUGUAAAGCUCUUUUACCCGGGAUGAUAAUGACAGUACCGGGAGAAUAAGCGCCGGCUAACUCCGUG
rnacentral:rRNA from 1 species